UGCAGCCAUGCCGCGUGUGUGAAGAAGGCCUUCGGGUUGUAAAGCACUUUCAGCGAGGAGGAAAGGUUACUGGCUAAUAUCCAGUAGCUGUGACGUUACUCGCAGAAGAAGCACCGGCUAACUUCGUGCCAGCAGCCGCGGUAAUACGAGGGGUGCAAGCGUUAAUCGGAAUUACUGGGCGUAAAGCGUACGCAGGCGGUUUGUUAAGCGAGAUGUGAAAGCCCCGGGCUCAACCUGGGGAACUGCAUUUCGAAACUGGCAAACUAGAGUCUUGUAGAGGGGGGUAGAAUUUCAGGUGUAGCGGUGAAAUGCGUAGAGAUCUGAAGGAAUACCGGUGGCGAAGGCGGCCCCCUGGACAAAGACUGACGCUCAGGUACGAAAGCGUGGGGAGCAAACAGGAUUAGAUACCCUGGUAGUCCACGCCGUAAACGAUGUCUACUCGGAGUUUGGUGUCUUGAACACUGGGCUCUCAAGCUAACGCAUUAAGUAGACCGCCUGGGGAGUACGGCCGCAAGGUUAAAACUCAAAUGAAUUGACGGGGGCCCGCACAAGCGGUGGAGCAUGUGGUUUAAUUCGAUGCAACGCGAAGAACCUUACCUACUCUUGACAUCCUCAGAACUUCCAGAGAUGG
rnacentral:rRNA from 1 species